GCGGUCAAGAUGUUGGUGGUGGCAUGCGUGCUUCCCAAGCACGUCGCGCGGGUUCAACUCCCGCUGACCGCU
rnacentral:tRNA from 1 species